GAGAUGGUGGUGCGGAGACGCACGGACGUUCAAGGCGUCCAGGGGAAUCGGGGUGCAAGUCCCCGGCUAUACCA
rnacentral:tRNA from 1 species